UACGUAGGGUGCAAGCGUUACCCGGAUUUAUUGGGCGUAAAGAGUGCGUAGGCGGUUUUGAAAGUCAUUAUUGAAAUCUUAGGGCUUAACCCUAAGCCUGGUAGUGAUACUUCAAGACUAGAUUACUUGAGGGGGUACCGGAACAGUUGGUGGAGCAGUGAAAUGCGUUGAGAUCAACUGGAACACCAAAGGCGAAGGCAGGUACCUGGUAAGUCAAUGACGCUGUUGCACGAAAGCGUGGGGAGCAAAACGG
rnacentral:rRNA from 1 species